rnacentral:rRNA from 1 species
GACGAACGCUGGCGGCGUGCUUAACACAUGCAAGUCGAACGGAAAGGCCCUGCUUUUGUGGGGUGCUCGAGUGGCGAACGGGUGAGUAACACGUGAGUAACCUGCCCUUGACUUUGGGAUAACUUCAGGAAACUGGGGCUAAUACCGGAUAGGAGCUCCGGCGGCAUGGUGGGGGUUGGAAAGUUUCGGCGGUGGGGGAUGGACUCGCGGCUUAUAAGCUGGUUGGUGGGGUAGUGGCUUACCAAGGCUUUGACGGGUAGCCGGCCUGAGAGGGUGACCGGCCACAUUGGGACUGAGAUACGGCCCAGACUCCUACGGGAGGCAGCAGUGGGGAAUAUUGCACAAUGGGCGGAAGCCUGAUGCAGCAACGCCGCGUGCGGGAUGACGGCCUUCGGGUUGUAAACCGCUUUCGCCUGUGACGAAGCGUGAGUGACGGUAAUGGGUAAAGAAGCACCGGCUAACUACGU